GUGCUCGCUUCGGCAGCACGUAUACUAAAAAAUUGGAACCAUACAGAGAAGAUUAGCAUGGCCCCUGCGCAAGGAUGACACACAAAUUCGUGAAGCGUUCCACAUUUUG
rnacentral:snRNA from 1 species